GUCAACAUUUGUUAAAUGAAUGAACAAGUGGAUCCUGGCCCCUUCGGCAUUUUUGUGGUAUAUUGGAGAAUGCAUCUGGUCUCCGGCUGUUUCCUGGGAGACAAACUCUAAGUCCUUGGAACUUCCAGGCGGAGUCUUAACCACUGCGCCACCAGGGAAGUCCCGUGAGAGUGUAUCUCCAGUGUUCUCACCACAAAUAAAAAAGAGAGCUACUGUAUUUUAUUUUCACCAGCACACCACAGAUCCUGAGGCAAUGCAGAGGCAGAGAAAACCAGGGAGCAGGAGCCACUGGAUAGAAAAGACCAGAAGAGACAAGAGUCGCUGCGGCCCUGUC